UCUACUAAAGGAAAAUAGCCUU
rnacentral:tRNA from 1 species